rnacentral:rRNA from 1 species
CACGUAGGGGGCAAGCGUUGUCCGGAUUUAUUGGGCGUAAAGAGCUCGUAGGCGGUUCGAUAAGUCGGGUGUGAAACCUCCAGGCUCAACCUGGAGACGCCACCCGAUACUGUUGUGACUAGAGUCCGGUAGGGGAGCGUGGAAUUCCUGGUGUAGCGGUGAAAUGCGCAGAUAUCAGGAGGAACACCGGUGGCGAAGGCGGUUCUCUGGGCCGAUAUUGACGCUGAGGAGCGAAAGCGUGGGGAGCGAACAGG